CCCCAUUCGAUGGUUCAUAGCGAUUGAUUCAAGUCCUAAACAGCCAAAACAAUCUAUCAAACAUCAAAAUUACCUUCAUGUCCUCCCACUUGUAACAAGAAAGGCAAAAGAAAGCGAGCACAAGAGGAUCUGUUAAUCGAAGAAGAUGGCAUCCUACCCUUUCGUCACAGCUUUAAGCACUCCAAGACGAGAAACGUCGAUCCUUCCUUCAUCUUUCUCGACGCCAUCUGACGCUUAUUGUAAAGUUUUCCUCGAUUCACUUGCCUUAAAGAGGAGUGAAAGUAAGGCAGCUAAUAUGAAUCUGAGGGUGCGAGCGAUGGGAGGAGCACCAAAGUUCAAGGGGACGCAGAUGAGGGAGAAGCAGCUUACGGAGAUGAUAGAGAAGAAGGUAAUGGAAGCGAAGGAGGUGUGCGAGGGAGACCAGACCUCCGACGAGUGCAAGGUGGCAUGGGAUGAGGUGGAAGAGGUGAGCCAAGCCAAGGCCGAUUUCAGGCUUAAGUUGGAGAAACAGGAUCCUCUCGAGUAUUUCUGUCAGGACAAUCCAGAGACCGAUGAGUGUCGAGUCUACGAAGACUAGCCACCCAACUAUGAGCCACCACCGUCCCCCUGAUCCUGAUGAUCGAAAUGUAGUAUUAGUGUUGCUUGGGCUU
rnacentral:misc_RNA from 1 species